AUUGAACGCUGGCGGCAGGCCUAACACAUGCAAGUCGAGCGGUAGAGAGAAGCUUGAUUCUCUUGAGAGCGGCGGACGGGUGAGUAAUGCCUAGGAAUCUGCCUGGUAGUGGGGGAUAAAGUCCGGAAACGGCCGCUAAUACCGCAUACGUCCUACGGGAGAAAGUGGGAGAUCUUCGGACCUCACGAUAUCAGAUGCGCCUAGGUCGGAUUAGCUAGUUGGUGGGGUAAAGGCUCAAUAAGGCGACGAUCAGUAACUGGUCUGAGAGGAUGAUCAGUCACACUGGAACUGAGACACGGUCCAGACUCCUACGGGAGGCAGCAGUGGGGAAUAUUGGACAAUGGGCGAAAGCCUGAUCCAGCCAUGCCGCGUGUGUGAAUAAGGUCUUCGGAUUGUAAAGCACUUUAAGUUGGGAGGAAGGGUCGUUACCUAAUACGUGGCGAUUUUGACGUUACCGACAGAAUAAGCACCGGCUAACUCUGUGCCAGCCGCCGCAGUAACAC
rnacentral:rRNA from 1 species